rnacentral:lncRNA from 1 species
CCUUGUGCACAGUAGGGUUUCAGUUCACACCUUCAGUGUGAAUAAAUGAAAAAGUGUGAAUAACGACUGAGUCACACCUUUAGAGGGAUGACUUGAACACAGUAGGGCUUCAGUUUAUGCCUGUAGAAUGUAUAAAGGAAAAUGUUUGAAUAGCAACUGAGUCACACGAUUCAUACAUCUCUGAAAACAUACUCCUCUGAAUACUCUAUUCCUGGUUGAUAGGAAUUUAUUUUGUUCUACCAGUAUAUCAUUGGUUUUCAAGUAGUCUAAUCAUAAUCCAGUGAGAGAAAAAAAACAUAUUUUUGCAAUGAAACUCCCUUCUUAAAAUUUGGUCCUACAUAUUCAUUGAGAAUUGCAUACAUGUGUAUAAUAUACUUUGAUGAUAUUCAGACCCUCUGUCCCUUCUGUUCCCCCCUGAUCUCCCUCACCAAAUACCUCUCCCAACUUCAUGCCAGAUUGUUUUUUAAGUAACUGACUGAGACCAGGAGUGUUGCAAGUAUGUGGAGAAGUAUAGGUCCAUUCACGGGAUCAUGGGAAACCCCUGAAAAAUGUGACUCUCCCUGUGCUAAAAUCACUGAACUUCCAAACGUUUCUCAACUAGGGUUUCACGGACACUGCCCACAAUCCAUGGAUUUCUGACUAGCUUCAUCUCGUGCCACUCUUGUGCAGGCAGCUCUAGCUACUGUGAGAUCAUGAGUGCAAUGGGUCUUUGUUUCGAGAACAGAAUGCAUUUCAACAGUCCUGCAAGAUCCAACUUUCAAAAAAGUCCACUUUGCAAGAGAAGUUCCUCUAUUUGUUUUCGUGGAUUCAAAGUUUGACACAAUUAGUUCCCUAAAACUAGCUUUUUUUGUAAUCUUGCUAAUAUUUCCAUUCUUUUCCCUUAGGGAAGGAAAUUCUAUUUCAUUGGCUUAUGAUUGCUUCCGUAAGGUUUCCUUCUAUAAUUAGGAGCCUAUGUAAUUUUUUUUUUCGCUAGAAGUGGAAAUCAAAUCUGAUGUCUGCCUUCGGGGAUUUUACCUUUAUUCUAGCAGACAAUACAUAAGAGCUUUUUGCUUCAGAACCAUAGGAGACUCCUCAUUCUCAUAUGUGCCUGACGCCACUUCUCUGUCUUUACUUAAAGUUGCUUUUAUUUGAUGAAAGAAAACCUUAUUGCAUGAAAGAAAAUAUUAUUAUUCCAUGAUACAGGGCAACAACAGGAUAACUGGGAGGAGUCCCAAUAAGGCUCCAUUAUUGAUGGUGUCACAGAAGCCCCUGAUCUGAAUAUUUGCCAAUGAAGAUAUGUGGACAGAAAUAUACUGUGGGACACACUGUGACAUGCUACUGCUUUCCACGGUUGCAGCCUAACUACCAACUCCAAGAGACUUCUUCUGAAGGAUUUGUAUAAUGUCUGCUACAAUGUUAUCCCCCUCAGGUUCUUCCAUAGAGCUCUAAUAUCUUAUCACAUGUGACACCUAGCAAUAAGCUCUAACCUUAGUUUUCUUAAAUAGUGAAACAUAGUUGACUCUUUGUGGUUUUUACUUUUGGCAGGCAACUCACAAAUUGACUAAAAAUUUGAAGUUAUUCCCUUUUCAGCACUAUGAAAUAAUAUGAAAAGUGAAUCUGGUCCAGUUCACUCCCUCCCUCCAUCCACCUCUUAUGUCUAUUUUAUUUCCUCUUUUGAGUGAGAUUCAUGCAUCCUCCCUGAACUCCUCCUUGUUAACUUAGUUUCUUUGGAUCUGUGGAUUACAGCAUGGUUAUCCUGUACUUUAUGACUAAACCACCAACCAUAGAAAACACAUGGUGGGACUCCCGCUGCAUAUGUAGCAGGGGAUGGCCUAGUCGGUCAUCAAUGGGAGGAGAGGCCCUUGGCCCUGUGAAGUUUCUAUGCCCCAGUGUAGGGGAAUGCCAGGGCCAGGAAGCAGGAGUGGGUGGGUUGGGGAGCAGGAGGAAGGGACAGGGGAUUUUCUGAGGUGAAACAAGGAAAGGGGAUAACAUUUGAAAUGUAAAUAAAGAGAAUACCUAAUUUAAAAUAAAAAGAAAAACAAGACCUAAGAAUUCAUUUGGUUAUCAUCCACACUAAUGCACUAGAGAAGGAAACGAAAUAGUUCCAAUGUGCUGGGCAGUGGUGGUGCUCGCCUUUGAUUCCAGCACUUGGGAGGCAGAGGCAGGGGGAUUCCUGCCUUCGAGGAUAGCCUGGUCUACAGAGUGAGUUCCAAGACAGCCAGGGCUAGACAGAGAAACCCUGUCUGGAAAAAAAAACAAAAAACAAAACACCAACAAGAAAAUAGUUACAAUGUACCCUGGAGAAACAACAAUGAAAUAGUUACAAUGUACCCUGGAGAAACAAUGAAAUAGUUACAAUGUACACUGGAGAAACAAUGAAAGGUCGACUUGAUCUGCUACUUCUUCAAACUCUUUAAAACCCAUGCAUUACUUCUUGUUGAGGCAACUGCUUGGGAAGAACAAAGAAAAAAAAAAUCUCUGGAAAAGAUGUCAUUAAAAUCUCUAUGAAGGUGCAUAAGAAGAGACUGAUACAGCCCUCUGAUGAAUAGCGACACUCCAAAUCCUACAGAGAGCCCACUCCUUCAUCACAGGCAUAGCAGCCCAUGUCUCAUUCGUUGGAAGCUUGCAUAACAAUAGGCAUGCAUAAAAUAAAAUCAUGAAAGAACACAGGGAUGACUCUGCCUCAGAUGUGAUUAGAACAACCAAGCCUAGCGUCUGUUCUCCUGACUACACAGUUUACUCUGUGGACAUACGUCCUGUUAUCUUUUUCUGUCUUCUACACCCAAAGCCAAGAUUGAGAUUCCUUGGGCUGGUGACACAGAAACUGCACAUGACUCAGAGUUUGUGUAGGUGUAUGUGAUCAGCCAAAGUCACGUAAGAGAACAAAGGAGCUUUUCAAACCCUCCGCUGACAAGUCUAGGGGAAAUUUAUAUGUGACAAAGCAUCCUUUCUCACAAAUCCAUCAUCGGGGAUGCUUAUUAAAGACCAUGGUAUUUGUUCAUAGAAUCACACAUGAUAUAAGGAUUAUUUUGAUGAUACCAAAUCUCGAAGGCCUUCUGAAUAACUUCUGAGUAUUAAACUUUGGAAAGGUUUUAUUUUGCAAAGUGACAAUACAAUUUAAUUAGUCUUUAAUUAAAUUUAAAACUUCAGUCAUUUAAAUAAUCUAGAAUUAAUAUUACUCUAAUACUCAUUUAAAUUAAUAAGGGGAACAUAACUUUCAAAAGCAUAUGUAUGUGGGGAGCCGCCCUCACAUUCACCGUUACAAGAUGGCGCUGACAUCCUGUGUUCUAAGUGGUAAACAAAUAAUCUGCGCAUGUGCCAAGGGUAGUUCUCCACUCCAUGUGCUCUGCCUUCCCCGUGUCGACAACUCGGCCGAUGGGCUGCAGCCAAUCAGGGAGUGACACGUCCUAGGCAGAGGAUAAUUCUCCUUAAAAGGGAUGGGGUUUCGCCAUUCUCUCUCUUGCUCCUGAAGAUGUAAGCAAUAAAGCUUUUGCCGCAGAAGAUUCCGGUUUGUUGCGUCUUUCCUGGCCGGUCGCGAACGUGUGUAAGAUAUGUAAAAGACAAUUCCAUUCCAUUUUAUUUUUAUAUUUGCCUUAAUGCAUAUUUAUUGGAAAAAUAA